GGCAUGGUGGCUCAGUAGUUAGUGCUGUUGCCUUGCACUUUGGUGGUUGGGGGUUCGAGUCCCAUCUUUGUCC